UGGGGAAUUUUGGACAAUGGGCGAAAGCCUGAUCCAGCAAUGCCGCGUGUGUGAAGAAGGCCUUCGGGUUGUAAAGCACUUUUGUCCGGAAAGAAAUGGCUCUGGUUAAUACCUGGGGUCGAUGACGGUACCGGAAGAAUAAGGACUGGCUAACUACGUGCCAGCAGCCGCGGUAAUACGUAGGGUCCAAGCGUUAAUCGGAAUUACUGGGCGUAAAGCGUGCGCAGGCGGUUGGGCAAGACCGAUGUGAAAUCCCCGAGCUUAACUUGGGGAAUGCAUUGGUGAAUGCAUGGCUAGAGUGUGUCAGAGGGGGGUAGAAUUCCACGUGAAGCAGUGAAAUGCGUAGAGAUGUGGAGGAAUACCGAUGGCGAAGGCAGCACCCUGGGAUAACACUGACGCUCAUGCACGAAAGCGUGGGGAGCAAACAGG
rnacentral:rRNA from 1 species